CGCCUGCAUACUUCAGUUAGGAAUAAUGGAAUAGGACUCCGGUUCUAUUUUGUUGGUUUUCGGAACUGGGGCCAUGAUUAAGAGGGAUGGCUGGGUGCAUUUGUAUUGUGCCACUCAAGGUGAAAUUCUUGGACCGGCACAAGACGAACCAAAGUGAAACCAUUUGCUAAGAAUGUUUUCAUUAAUCAAUCAUUAAUUAAGAACAAAAGUCAGAGGUUCAAAGACAAUCAGAUUCCGCCGUAGUUUCGACCAUAAACGAUGUCGACUAGCGAUCCGGCAGCG